rnacentral:rRNA from 1 species
GUGCUGCAUGGCUGUCGUCAGCUCGUGUCGUGAGAUGUUGGGUUAAGUCCCGCAACGAGCGCAACCCUUGCUUAGUUGCCAUCAUUAAGUUGGGCACUCUAAAGAGACUGCCGGUGUCAAACCGGAGAAGUGGGGAUGACGUCAAGUCCUCAUGGCCUUUAUGACCAGGGCUACACACGUACUACAAUGGCAGGUACAAAGGGCAGCCACUUAGCGAUAAGGCGCGAAUCCCGUAAAACCUGUCUCAGUCCGGAUUGGAGUCUGCAACUCGACUCCAUGAAGUUGGAAUCGCUAGUAAUCGCAGAUCAGCGCGCUGCGGUGAAUACGUUCCCGGGCCUU